UUGCACUUUUAUUCGGUGUGAAGCAAAUGUUGUUGUUCAUGUUCCAGCUAAACAUUCUGCAGUGCAAUUUUCUUAACAGGUAGAGGUCCCCUCGAAAAUACUAUCAAAAGAGAAGAAGAAGAAUAUUACCCAUCUAAUGAGUAAGACAGAUCAGUCUUGUGUAUCCUAUAAUGAAUUUCCAUCAAUCUGAACAUCAGGAUUCUGCAUAUGUCCUUCAGCAAUCCAAGGAGAAAAGAUUUGUUCGUCCGUCGGGCGUCAAUUCUGUAGCUGUUUCCGGGUGCAUUGACAGCCACCUUUGCCCAUCCAUAUCAACUCUCCAUUUCCCUCAUCAGCCU
rnacentral:lncRNA from 1 species